rnacentral:rRNA from 1 species
AACGAACGCUGGCGGCAGGCCUAACACAUGCAAGUCGAGCGAAGCCUUCGGGCUUAGCGGCGGACGGGUGAGUAACGCGUGGGAACGUGCCCUUUGGUACGGAAUAGCCCCGGGAAACUGGGAGUAAUACCGUAUGUGGUCGAGAGACGAAAGAUUUAUCGCCAAAGGAUCGGCCCGCGUUGGAUUAGGUAGUUGGUGGGGUAAUGGCCUACCAAGCCGACGAUCCAUAGCUGGUUUGAGAGGAUGAUCAGCCACACUGGGACUGAGUCACGGCCCAGACUCCUACGGGAGGCAGCAGUGGGGAAUCUUAGACAAUGGGGGAAACCCAGAUCUAGCCAUGCCGCGUGAUCGAUGAAGGCCUUAGGGUUGUAAAGAUCUCUCAGUGGGGAAGAUAAUGACUGUACCCACAGAAGAAGCCCCGGCUAACUCCGUGCCAGCCGCCGCCGUAACAC